AAUUAAGCAAAUAUUCUAAAACCUAAUUAGCAUUUAAAUCCCGAAUUCCAAUUACUUCAAAUUAAAAGCCAAUUACCAAAACAAUGUAAAAAAAACUUGAAAAUGGGCUUGAAUCAAUGGGGGUGUAGGCCCGGUUUAGGAGGUGUGAAACUGGAUAGGCGUGUGGGAAAUCUUGGGCCUUGGGGAGAAACGUAUGCAGGCCCACUGAAGUAUGUGAGGCGAAGCCAUGCUAAUGGAUUAACGGGUGGGGGUGUCAAGAAGGAAACUUGCUUGGGCCUUGGCCCAAGUCUUCCAAUGCUAUCACAAUCGGGUGGCCCAUGUCCAUGAAGAGCAGGAAUCUCACGAAAAACCUGUUGGACUCAAACACACGAACAUGUUCGUGCAUUCAACGGUGCAUCUUCGCCAAUUCUCGUCCUCAUUACGAAAUUCCACAUGAAAAACAAUGAAGAAGACUCCGAACUCAUCCUCCAACAAUCAAGAAAUGCGAUGAACACUCGAACGAACUCCAAUGCGAGCAGAUUGCAGUGCCACAGACUCAACACGAUUAGUGGCCUCCAAAAUCGAGACUGAAUCCAACCGAUUCCAAGUUUUUCGUUUCAUCUUCAUGUGUGCGAGGAAGUUAAAGCUUCAAUCGAUUCCGCUUCGGUUUGUUCUGCAGGGUGAUGGUGAAGGAAUUCAACGGAGUUGAAGAUUUGAGUUUCGACAGUGAAGAAGAUUGGCUUUGGAUAGUGAAGUUUUGGACAAUGAAGCAGAUCGAAGAGUCGAAACUCUGUUGAAGAGUAAAAGGUGAAGUUGAAGAUGAAGGUUUAAGAAGAUCCCUCAGAAUGAGGUUUGAAGUGUUUAUAUAGAGCCCUUAUCCUAACUGAUUCGGGCAGCCCUUUGGGCAAUCAGGUUAUGGAUUGUGUAGGGUUUCCUGUAGUACUUCUGGUUGAAGGUUGUAUAGGUCAAUGGAUGUUGAAUGCAUGUUGAUCAUGAUGUAGCAAGGUCAGUGGCAUGAUAUGAGGUGCACUGCAGGGUGUGGCUAUGCAAUUGUUUUUUGGUUGAUAAAAUUCCAAUUCUGUUUCGGUUGGCAGCAGCAGCAAGGCAAAUGCUUGGUCCAUGUCGAAGGAUCGGCGAACCAACUUGUUUAAGUCUUGGUGGUUUAGACUUUGUAGAUCUAGUUCGGUAGGAUUGUCAUGAUUGUAUGACAUAGGUUUUGAAUUAAAAAUUAGAACUUUAUGUCAUGAACUUAUGUUCUUUUGGAUUUGAAUUAUAUGUAAAAUCAAAUUUAUUUGAAAUUUGAAUGUGAAGUUGGUAAUUUGAAUGAAAUGUUGGAUUGUUUUGGA